GAAACUGGGUCAAGAAUUUUAGAAUC
rnacentral:piRNA from 1 species